UCCAGCUCUGAGUCGGGGCAGCAGCUCAGCUGGGCCGGGGCUCAGGCCUUGAGAAGCCGGGAGCAGAGAUGGGGACGAUUUGACCCACAUUGAGAGGGAGAGCAGAUCGGGCUUGAAUGAGAAAAUAUCUGGUGGUGCCUGACGCAGUACCCAGCACACGGUAGACAGUUGGCAGGUUCCCAGUUUUUCUCGUACAACACCCCUGUCUCAUCCUUUGGUCCUCCCUUCCUUCUCCAUUCCUCGCUCAGAUUCACAGGCACCUGCCUCAGUUCAUCUGUGCGACCAGGUGAGUUGACAAGAUGGAGCCUUAAGGAUGUGAAGAGACCUUUCUAUGGUAGACUUCUCCGCGCCACCAGUUUUCUGUUUUGGCAAGUGUGAUAAGUAAGCAUUCCUAAAACCUGCUCCAGCUUCCAGCAGGUUCAUCUCCACAACCUGAUUUCUCACUGUCUCCCAAAGGAUGGGCAUAACGACUGAGUGAUGAUUGGUACCUUCCCUCCCCGGGUUGGACACCGGUUUCAAGAAUUCCCCGAGGGGCUAACCUCUAAUUUCAAUAUGUUAAUGUGUGGAAUCUAAUGGCGUAUUUAUUGCUUAUGUAGAUGCUAGUUAUUUACAUGGGAAACUGAUUUAUCUAUUAGAUAAUUAGUAAACUUCAAUAAUUGCAAAAACCUUUUAGCAAUCAGUUGACAUUUAAUUAACAUACAAUAACUGUCUUAUU
rnacentral:lncRNA from 1 species